GAUGAACGCUAGCGGCAGGCCUAAUACAUGCAAGUCGAACGGUAGAUUUGGUAGCAAUACUGAAUUGAGAGUGACGUAAGGGUGCGUAACACGUAUGCAAUCUGCCCUCAACAGGAGUAUAGCUCGGGGAAACUCGGAUUAACCCUCCAUAAGAUCUUAGGGUGGCAUCACCUAGAGAUUAAAACUUCGGUGGUUGAGGAUGAGCAUGCGCAUGAUUAGUUAGUUGGAGGUGUAACGGACCCCCAAGACGAUGAUCAUUAGGGGAACUGAGAGGUUGAUCCCCCACACUGGCACUGAGAUACGGGCCAGACUCCUACGGGAGGCAGCAGUAGGGAAUAUUGGUCAAUGGGUGAGAGCCUGAACCAGCCAUGCCGCGUGCAGGAAGACGGCCUUCUGGGUUGUAAACUGCUUUUAUCUGGGGAU
rnacentral:rRNA from 1 species